GCGAGUUAUAAACUCCCAACCCUCGUGGACAUACCUAUUGUUGCUUCGGCGGGGCGCCUCGUUCGGGGCGCUGCCCCUUAACGGGGCACCCGCCGGUGGCACGCACACUAAACUCUGUUUCCUGAUGUAUUCUGAGUAAACUACAAAUAAGUUA
rnacentral:misc_RNA from 1 species